rnacentral:rRNA from 1 species
GGAGUUUGGACCGUGUCUCAGUUCCAAUGUGGCCGAUCACCCUCUCAGGUCGGCUACUGAUCGUCGCCUUGGUGAGCCGUUACCUCACCAACCAGCUAAUCAGACGCAGGCCCAUCCCCAGCCAAUAAAUCUUUGGCCAUGUGAAAAUGCUAUCUCAUGGCAUUAUCAGGUAUUAAUCACCGUUUCCAGUGGCUAUCCCUGUGCUAGGGGCAGGUUGCCUACGCGUUACUCACCCGUCCGCCGCUUUCCGCUUACUGAAUCAUCCGAAGAAUCUUCUGUAAGUUUCUCGCUCGACUUGCAUGUAUUAGGCACGCCGCCAGCGUUCAUC